UCUGCCCUAAACUUCUCAUUUAAUCCACGUUCCCUACAUUGCAGGUUGCGGAGCCACAUUUUUACACGGAUCCAGCUGAAAGCCACAGAAAGACCAAAGCACCGAAAUGCGCUGGAAGGCGCCACGCGAUCUCUCUCUGAGGAGGAACAAGCUGGAUUAGCGCCGAGGUAAAAUGGCAAAGUUCAUCUCAUGUCAAGGAAAUGAAGUCUCUUUUCUAUGCUGGAGGCUUGGUGCUUCAGGAAGAACACAGGUUGCCUUUCUUUGCCAGAGUGAUGAUUAGUGACUGUGUCCACGUGGAGGGCCACUCACCAGUCUGCCAGAUCUUGUUGCAGAUCUUGCCUGCAGUUGAACACAUGCUUGUAUCUGCAUCUUUAUUAAAGAGACAAAGUAAUCUCCUGUAGCUGAUGCUGCAUUUCCCAUGUUAUUCACCUACACAAUCCAAAGUCGUCGGGAUAGUUUAUAUAUUAGGAUCAAUAAGAAAAGUAAGCUUCUUAAAGCACUGGCAGAAUGCCACUUCCUCCAGCCUCCCAAAUCCAAAUGUAAGCAAUUUAUCACUACAUUUAUUCUGAGAGGAAAAGCCAUGGCUCACAGCCUUAUUUACAACACAGUUAACCACCUUUACAAUUAACCAAGUUGGAGAACCCCCCUCACAGCUAAUCAGCUACCUCGUAUUAAAUAUAUUACAUGCCAUUAACCUUGUCAGUUAGUAGAUCUCUUUCAACUCUGAAUACUGCCCCUGUCUAGAAAGGUACUGAUCCAAAUGCUCUCACAGGCAUGUAUCUGACAGUUUUCUCAUUCUCCUCAAAACAUCUAGAUACUUUAUAAAAAAAAAAGAAAUUAUACAUAUUUCAGCCCCUAACCCAAUCUCCCAGUUCAGGAAAGCAUUUAAGCACAUGCUCAACUUGCUUGUGCUUAAGUCCCAUUAUCUUCAAUGUGACUUAACCGUAUGCUUAAGUGCUCUUCUGAAUAUAGAUGCUUUCCUCAAAGGAAAUGAUUCAAGUCUUUUUACUGUGCAGAAAUGGGGAAUGACACCCCUCUGCAUCACGGCUCUUCUAAAGAUCCCUACAUUACUGACAUAACUGAUAACCUAUUCUAUGAUUAUGCAUCUCUUGAACUAGUGUCGAUCCCUUUUAAACAAUAGCUUCUCAUGUGAAUAACUGACUUUUUUUUUAAUAUUUAUGCUUCAGUAGGGCCCAGUCAGGACUGGGGUGCCAUUUUGUU